ACGGGUGAGUAACGCGUGGGAACGUACCUUUUGGUUCGGAACAACACAGGGAAACUUGUGCUAAUACCGGAUAAGCCCUUACGGGGAAAGAUUUAUCGCCGAAAGAUCGGCCCGCGUCUGAUUAGCUAGUUGGUGAGGUAACGGCUCACCAAGGCGACGAUCAGUAGCUGGUCUGAGAGGAUGAUCAGCCACAUUGGGACUGAGACACGGCCCAAACUCCUACGGGAGGCAGCAGUGGGGAAUAUUGGACAAUGGGCGCAAGCCUGAUCCAGCCAUGCCGCGUGAGUGAUGAAGGCCCUAGGGUUGUAAAGCUCUUUUGUGCGGGAAGAUAAUGACGGUACCGCAAGAAUAAGCCCCGGUUAACUUCGUGCCAGCAGCCGCGGUAAUACGAAGGGGGCUAGCGUUGCUCGGAAUCACUGGGCGUAAAGGGUGCGUAGGCGGGUCUUUAAGUCAGAGGUGAAAUCCUGGAGCUCAACUCCAGAACUGCCUUUGAUACUGAAGAUCUUGAGUUCGGGAGAGGUGAGUGGAACUGCGAGUGUAGAGGUGAAAUUCGUAGA
rnacentral:rRNA from 1 species